rnacentral:sRNA from 1 species
AUAUCUCUCUGUACGGGAAGGAUGAGAAGCUUCGACUAAGGUUCGAUUCGAGCGCAGCGAGAAAGCGUUGCCGCAGGCAACGACCCAAAGGGCGAAGCGCGCAGCGCUGAGUAAUCCUUCCCCCACCACCA